AAAGGCCCAGGGGUGACUUGGAGGGAAUGAAAGGCGGUCAGGAUGGCCAGAGGCCGAGGCUGGAUGCAGAGGAGGCGGACGGGUGGGGCAUAAGCCAUUUAAAUGAAGUGAGCUUCGGGCUUAUCCUAAGGGCCCUUUGAGGUUUAAGAGGAGGGCUGAAAGGGUCCUCUUUCCUGUCCGAAUGGAGUGUACUGGGUGGGGGGUGGCUCUGUCCGCGGGGAGAGGGAUCAGGUGGUAUAGACUAGGGUGCAGGCUCAAGAGAAGUAGACUGGUUCAAGAGCCAUGUAGGCAGCAGAGGGCAAACCUUGGUGAUGGGCUUGAGGGGAUGAGGAGCGGUGGGUGGGAGGAGUCAGGGAGGUCUCCCAGGGUGUGAGGCCAGCGUUGGGUGAGUGAGGGUCUCAUUUCCACCCUUAGCUAAUUCCCUGGAGAAAUGUGGGCUGGGGGAUGGGAGCGGUGUGUGGUCAGCAGACCUGCCCACUCACACUUAGGCUUCUGACCUCUGUAGCUACCAGGAUUACUGGCCUCCCCAUUCUCAGUGGUUUUGCUCUCUUGGACCCUUCUCUGUUCCACCUUACCUCUCCAUUCUGGCGUUCCACCAGGGCUGCUCUUCGCCCUCUCGUGCACAGUCCACUGUAGUGGCUUUUUCUGAGACUAAUGGGUAAAACUCCCAAAUCAGUGUUUCUGAGUUAGCAAAAAAAAAUUGUGAAACAAAAACGCCCAGACUCCUCACCCUCAGUGCCAAGGUCCGAAGGUCACGUGAUGCCUAGCCCCUAGCAAUGGUCCUGCACUCUGAGUUGGGUGUUAAUUGGCCGUGGGCUGCUCAGCAGGAGAGCACAUUGGCUCUCCAUUCACUGUAGAUGAAAGGUCCUGGCCUCACAGCCAGUUCCAUACCCAACUGUAGCCUGUCUCUCUUCGCUUACCAGCAUCUCAAACAUUUCUCAAGAAUCGGCUAAUAGAUGGGGAGACUGUGGUCUGUUGCAUAACUGAAACUCUCAGAAGUUCUCUCCAUAAAUGUAUGGAAAAAGAAAGUAUUGUGGCGAAGCUUGGACUUCCCUGAAACCCGGAGGCUGAGUGCUACCCUGCAUCAUGGACGCUCUUUCUGAAGCAAAUGGCACCUUUGCCAUCCAGCUUUUAAAGAUACUGUGUGAAGACAACCCUUCACACAACGUGUUCUAUUCUCCUGUGAGCAUCUCCUCAGCCCUGGCCAUGGUCUUCCUGGGGGCAAAAGGAAACACUGCUGCCCAGAUGGCCCAGGUGCUUUCAUUAAGCACAGAGAAAGACAUUCAUCAGAGUUUCCAGUCACUUCUUGCUGAAGUGAACAAACCUGGCACCCAGUACUUGCUCAGAACGGCCAGCAGGCUCUUUGGAGAAAAGACUUGUGAAUUCCUCUCGGCCUUUAAGGAAUCCUGUCUUCGGUUCUACCACGCUGAGCUGGAGCAGCUUUCCUUUGCCAGUGAUGCAGAGCAGUGCAGGGAGCACAUCAACACUUGGGUCUCAAAAAAGACUGAAGGUAAAAUUCGAGAUUUACUGCCGAGUAACUCAAUCAAUGCAAACACCAGGCUGGUUCUUGUCAAUGCCAUCUACUUCAAAGGAAGGUGGAAUGAACAGUUCAACAAAAUGUACACAAGGGAAAUGCCUUUUAAAAUAAACCAGAAGGAGCAAAAGCCGGUGCAGAUGAUGUUUCAGGAAGCUACGUUUAAGCUUGCCUAUAUUAAAGAGGUGCAGACCCAGGUCCUGGAGCUGCCCUACGAGGGUGAGGAGCUGAGCAUGGUCAUUCUGCUCCCGGACGACAACGUAGAUCUAAGCUUGGUGGAAAAAAAUCUCACUUUGGAGAAAUUCAGAGCCUGGACCAAGCCAGACCGUAUGCAGAGCACCGAAGUGGAAGUUUUCCUUCCGAGAUUUCAACUGGAAGAGGAUUAUGACAUGGAAUCUGUGCUCCAGGGUCUGGGAAUGGUUGAUGCCUUUCGGGAGGACGAGGCUGACUUUUCGGCAAUGUCAGGCGAGAGAGAUCUGUGUCUGUCCAAGUUUGUGCACAAGAGUUUUGUGGAGGUGAACGAGGAAGGCACGGAGGCCGCGGCCGCGUCAACUAUCUUGGUUGUGGAGUGUUGCAUGGAUUCUGGCCCCACGUUCUGCGCCGACCACCCCUUCCUUUUCUUCAUUAGGCACAAUGCAGCCAACACUAUUCUGUUCUGUGGCAGGUUUUCCUCUCCAUAAGGGUGAGCAUUCCCCUCUUUCUGUGUCCUCCUGCCCUGCUCCACAGCCCCGGAAAAUGGGCCUUCGAAGCACAGUGCAAAGUGUUCACGGUGAUUUUCUCAUCUUCAUUCUUCAAGGUGAACGUCAGAAUAAUUUUGCAAUACUCAAAAUAAUGUUUUUAACUUUGGUAUUUUUUGGAGGGAUUAGUGUGACAUUAAACAUAUAAAUUUGGGGAUAAAUUAAUCUAUUUACAGGGUUUAGUCUUGUUCGGGAAAUGUGAGGAGUCUCCAUUUAUUCAAAUCUUUUUUAUCUCCCUCUCUCUAUAUAUAUUUAUGUAUAUAUAUAUAUAUAGACAGAGAGAGAGAGACAUAGUUUUGUUUUUCUUGUUAUGGUAUUUCUAAGUUUUAUUGUCAUUAUAAUAAUUGUAGUGAGAGCAUUUUCCCUCAUUUGGUUAUGGGUGGCAUAUAAGCAAACGAAGUUUAGUACAUACUAAAGAGAAACAUCAUUUCUCCCUCCUCCUACUAAAUACUUUUGACCCCAGUUGUGUGGGUUUUUCCACACCAAGCAGUUCUCCGCUUCUCAGGGACACCGACUGGGUGCCUUACAAUUUAACUGAAUUUUAUUUUUUCCGCAAUAGAAGAAUUUAAUUCAUUUAUAUUAUGCAAUACUCUGCAGAACAUUUUUUUAAAUUGUGAAGGGUCUAUAUGCAGUUCCUGAAAAAGGUCAUGAAAACAAAUUAAGUGAAAAAUACAGCUUUCAGUACAACGUGCCUACAUGAUGCACGCAUUUAUGUGAACAGACCCUGUAUGUCUACACGUAAUUCACAUAUGUGAGUCUCUGGGAAAAGGUUUAAAAGGCUAAGCCUUCACCUUUAACAGAGGUUAUCUCUGGGAAAGGUUUUGAGGGGGAAUGGGAGGAAAACUUCCAGUUUUUACUCUCUGUGUUUCAAUAUUAUUUAAUGUUUCAACUAGGAAAAUCUAAUCCUGUGAUCUGCACAUAAUUCAAAGGAAGAACUCCAGGAUAUAACCACAUGUGUAAUUCUGAGUGACACGGUAUUGAAACUGAAAUAAAAUCUACAUAAACAGCUUUAAAAUA